rnacentral:lncRNA from 1 species
GGUGAAUGUGAUCCCUAGACCUUUAACACCUGGCUCUGAGUCCUGCCCGCACCUUCCAGGCACCACUCACUCCAAUGGCUCCACUCCUGGGCUCCUUGAUACAGACAAGGGCUCUGAUUGGAAACCCUCUGACUCCUCCGUGCUUCUUGGCCUUUGACAAGUUUAUCACAGAUGGGAGAAGGACAUUCUGUUUCUUCAGUGUUAUGGGCUGACUCACUUCCCUCUUCUCUGCAAUAAGCACAAAGGCCAAAGUCAGUCCACUCUACCAAGAAACAGCAAAAUGGCUCUGAGAGUGGUGUCCUUCCGGAUUGGUGAACCUCCAGCUCCACUCAGCUCCUGGGGCUCAGCCAGCAGAGCUGUGCAGUGGAAAGGAAUCCACCUUGGAACAGGAUCCCUGGCUUUACCACUUCAAUUGCUGAGUGAUCUCCAGCUAGUUAGUUUCAGCCUAUUUCCUCAUGUGAAAAAUUGAGGUAAAAAUACUUGGAAAUAUUGUUGUAAAGGUUAAGUAACGUAAGAAAAAUGCCUGGAACCAUGUCUUCCACCAAAGUAGGUAGGGGCUCAACAAAUAUUGAAUUGAUUCAUAUGACAUUGCCAUUUAUAUAGGUCAAAAAUGGCCAAAUAUUGACAAUUUCAUAUGGUUCAACCUGCCAUCAGCCUAUUACUCAAGCACCUAAGAAAUCAGUGUCCAAUUGGUUGGAGUAUUGGGUACAAACAAGGUAGAACCUUAGAGGUAGAACCCCAGUGUUGACUUUUAUUUACAUUAUCAAAGAAUCAAGGAAGGCCAGCACCCUACUAUGCACUUUAAAUUCUGGAAGAUUUUCUUCACUCUUAGCUAGUUAAACAAAGCCGAUUUAAGAGACAGGAUAAAAUUGUGGUUUAGAGCCUAGACUCUGGGGAGAGAUUGUCUGGGAUUAAAUUCCAGCUCUGCUACUGACGAGCAUUGUGAAACUGAGCAAGUUUGUUAAUCAACCUGGGUCUCAGUUUUGUUCCCCGUGACAUAGGAUAUUACAG